rnacentral:rRNA from 1 species
GAGGAUGAUCAGCCACACUGGGACUGAGACACUGCCCAGACUCCUACGGGAGGCUGCAGUCGAGAAUCAUUCGCAAUGCGGGAAACCGUGACGAUGCGACGCUGCGUGGAGGAUGACGGCCUUAGGGUUGUAAACUCCUGUCAUAAGGGAAAAGACACCUUGCGGUUAAUAACCGCGAGGUUCGAUGGUACCUUAAGAGGAAGCCACGGCUAACUCUGUGCCAGCAGCCGCGGUAAUACAGAGGUGGCGAGCGUUGUUCGGAUUUACUGGGCGUAAAGGGUGUGUAGGUGGUCAUGUAUGUCGGAUGUGAAAUUCUGGGGCCUAACCCCAGCGCUGCAUUCGAAACUGCGUGACUAGAGUACAGGAGAGGUAAGCGGAAUUCUUGGUGUAGCGGUGAAAUGCGUUGAUAUCAAGAAGAACACCGGAUGCGAAGGCGGCUUACUGGAAUGUUACUGACACUCAUACACGAAAGCUAGGGGAGCAAACAGGUUUAGAUACCCUGGUAGUCCUAGCUGUAAACGGUGUGCACUCGGUGUUGGAGGAAUUGUCCCCUCCAGUGCCUAAGCUAACGCGUUAAGUGCACCGCCUGGGGAGUACGGUCGCAAGAUUAAAACUCAAAGAAAUUGACGGGGACCCGCACAAGCGGAGGAGCAUGUGGCUUAAUUCGAUGCAACGCGAAGAACCUUACCUGGGCUUGACAUAUAUCUGCACGUCCUGUGAAAGCAGGAUUCCUUCGAGGGUGAUAUACAGGUGCUGCAUGGCUGUCGUCAGUUCGUGCCGUGAGGUGUUGGGUUAAGUCCCGCAACGAACGCAACCCCUGUGUUUAGUUGCUACCAGGUAAUGCUGAGCACUCUAGACAGACUGCCCGUGUAAUCGGGAGGAAGGUGGGGACGACGUCAAGUCAGUAUGGCCCUUACGCCCAGGGCUGCACACGUGCUACAAUGACCGGUACAGAGGGUCGCAAUGUCGCGAGGCGGAGCAAAUCCCUUAAAACCGGUCCCAGUUCGGAUUGGAGUCUGCAACUCGACUCCAUGAAGUUGGAUUCGCUAGUAACGGCGUAUCAGCUACGCCGCCGUGAAUACGUUCCCGGGUCUU